CGCGUAGGUGGUUGUGUAAGUCGGAUGUGAAAGCCCAGGGCUUAACCUUGGAAUUGCAUCCGAUACUGCAUGACUAGAGUAUGGUAGAGGGAAGUGGAAUUUCCGGUGUAGCGGUGAAAUGCGUAGAUAUCGGAAGGAACACCAGUGGCGAAGGCGACUUCCUGGGCCAAUACUGACACUGAGGUGCGAAAGCGUGGGGAGCAAACA
rnacentral:rRNA from 1 species